UGAAUGCACAGCAGGGAACCCUCCUCCUUCUCCCUUUUAGGUCCUCACCCCCUCCUUCACCUUCUGUGGUAGGGCAUGCUCUCUCCUCCACCAUCAGCAUGCUGCCUGCUCCCACGCUGUUCUGCCUCCUUCUCCCUGCAACUGUCCAUCCCUGUCCCAGCAGCAAAGAGAGCACACAUGCAAGUGUCCUUCUCUCCUGGCUUUUGACUCUGCCAUGUGAAACUGAAACUGAGAUCUAGAAAACCAUUGAGAGGUGGACUUCUCUGCACAGUUGAAUCCUGGAGCCCCUUCUUCAGCUGCUAGGUGUUCUGAAAAGAGGUCGAAAGGCAUUUUGUUGUUAAACAAGGUCCCCAAAGACUGUCUCUUGAAUCUGUGUGGCUUGCAACCAGGACUCAGUACCAGGUACCUGCAGUUCUUCCUUCAGAUGCUGAUCCUACAAGCUGUAGGAAUCCUGCAAGCUGCAGGGAUCCCUUUUGACUUCACUGAGUUCCAUGGGUGGUUUUGCAUUCAAUUCCAAGCUGUGUGGACCAACUUGCAGCUGCAAUAUCUCUUUUCAGAAGAACUUCCUUGACAGGAGAGAAGGUCUUUGCCUUCGCCAUGUCAAGGAAUCUUAAUGAUGUAUUCCUUCUCCAUUGCGUUCCCCACCUGUCAUCU
rnacentral:lncRNA from 1 species